GGCAUCUCCGUCUCUCACUCUCUCGGCGGCUCUGUCUGGUUCAGCGGUUCACAGCGUGCGGCUCCAGCCCAGACGGUGACGUCACGCCUCUCAUUCCCCUGCAGUAUGAUUGGAGGUCAUCGUGGGACAAUCACGUGCGGCUACGCAUGAAGGCAGGCACGCAGCGCGGCAUGUGAGGCUCGGCGAGGUGCUGGCCAGACCUCGCGCUUAUCCAAGCUGGGGGCGGCAAAUACCUCCCAUAUAAAAUGCAGACAGCACUCAACAUCAACUGUUCACAGAGAAACCUGCAUGAAUCAUGCUUCCAUGGUAGAAUAGCUGCAAAGAAACCACUACUGAAGAAGAGAAAUAAGAAGAAGUGACUUGCAGAAGUGUGUUUGCAUAAAUGCAACUCACUUUCCCCCUCUUUAUAUUGUGCAAGUGUGUUUUAACUGACUCAGAGAAAGAGGUAAUGUAUGCUUUAUUAUUCCUCGAGGAGUAAUUUGGCACCACUGUUGGUAAUAAUGCAGUUUGGAAUAUAUAAAUUAUCCCAACUGCAUACAGCAAAAAAGCAUAAUGUAACUGAAUAAACAAUGUUCAUUCAUCUAGUUUAUUACCACCUUAAUUUCUGGGUUAUGGGGGCCAAAGUCAUCCCAGCAACACUGCACACAAUGUAGAAGGCAAGCCUUCAUGCGUUACCAGACCUUAGAAGACCACACGUGAAAUUUGCCUUAACUCUGUUUUUGGGUAGAGAGAGAAAAAGUCAUACAUUCAAAGAGAAUUGUGCAAACCCCACAGAAGUGAUAUAACCACUACAACUGUUUCUCUGUUUUCAGUAAUUGCCACACCUAUAAUAGAAUAUAACCCAUAACAUAUUCUCAUUACAUACAAAAAAUACAUGUAGUAAUUAGGCGAUGGGCAUUAAUAAAGCAACACAUUAAUAUUAACUGUAAUAAUAAACAGGUUUUAGAAUAUUAUGUAUUAAUUUUGGGCAACAUGGGGGAUGCAGUGGUUAGCAUUGCUAACAUAUGGAUUCUGUGACUGGGGUUUUAAUUCUGCAGUUCUGUGUUGUGUUUGCACAAUUUUCAUGUGUCUGUCGGUAUCCCCCAAUUCUCAGCUUUUCUUUUGCACUUCAAAAAGAUGCAUUUUAAAUCUAACAAAACAAUCAAAGACAUACUGUACACUAGUUUGUUGGGGUUUAGCAGUUAUAAAUAGAAUCAAUAAGACAUACUAAAGAAAACAGUGAAGAUAUAUAAAUCAGUGAACUACUAAAAACCUGCCCCUACCCAGUGUAGACAGCCAUUUGAUACCACAGAGUGCAUCAUAUUACAGUUACUCAAUUAAAUUAGAACAUCAGAGUUUAAAACAAAAUGCAGGGAGUCUGUUUUAGAUUGCUUGCCAAAGUAUGAAAUCUCUGUGGUGUUUCAUGUGAUUUAUCGUUUUUUCUACUUUUAGAUAAUGCAACACAUGUUUAUAUAGUUUUGGAGGGUGCCUUGUGAUUCUUGCACUUAAACAGAAUGAACUGGUGUGCACAAAAUGUAGUAAAAGAAAAUCAUUGUGUGCUUAUUUCUAGAUAGUCUAAUCUUGUGCUGUACUAUUCCACUGCUGUAAAAGAAUUUGGAAUCAUUUUAAAUCCAACAGUAUCUGACAGAUAAGUAAAUAUCUGCACCCAGUGGUGGUUUUUGAUAUGGGCGACAUGGGUCGUUGUCCAGGGGGGCAUCGGAAAAAAUUAUUUUUUUUUUAUUCUUGCGCAUGCCCAUGCUGCCCCGACAUCAUGCCAGUGCAUUUUUGGGUUUGUAUUGGCACCGAUCGGUUUUCUAUUGCCCAUUUGCGGGUAAUAAGGGCGCCCUCCAUUUGCGAGGUGUGCUUGCUGCUUGCAGAAAAGGGAGGAGAGGGACGGGGCGGCGGGGGAUUCUCUGGCUGGCUGACAUGGCAUCUAAUAACCAGCUCGCAAAAUAAAACAAAAUAAAAACAAACAAACCAACACAAAAGCACCAGACAUGAUGUAGACUUAUAAUUUGCACUGAUGUGUUUUCUAAAUUCUAUCACACCCAUACAUGCAGAAAGUGAGCGCGAGGGCCCUCGGUGCACCUGCUUGCUGCUGCUGCUGUGCUGAAGUCUCACACACAACCUGUCAAAAGGGGAGAGGGGCGGGGAGCUUCCAAAUAAAGCACAUUUCAUUCAUAAUAUUGCCAAUCCAAGCCCAUUAUGUCACAAUUCAUUUUUCCUGGGUUGUGAGAAAUCGCAG